rnacentral:rRNA from 1 species
AUUGAACGCUGGCGGCGUGCCUAAUACAUGCAAGUAGGACGCAGUUGCGAACGGGUGAGUAACGCGUAGGUAACUACCUGUUAGAGGGGGAUAACUAUUGGAAACGAUAGCUAAUACCGCAUACUAGUAGAUGGACCUGCGUUGUAUUAGCUAGUAGGUAGGGUAAAGGCCUACCUAGGCAACGAUACAUAGCCGACUUGGAGGGGUGGUCGGCCCAACUGGGACUUAGAAAAGGCCCAGACUCCUACGGGAGGCAGCAGUAGGGAAUCUUCGGCAAUGGGGGGAACCCUGACCGCGCAACGCCGCGGGAGUGAAGAAGGUUUUCGGAUCGUAAAGCUCUGUUGUUAAGGAAGCGGUACUUAACCAGAAAGGGACGGCUAACUACGUGCCAGCAGCCGCGGUAAUAC